UUUAAUGGCCGCAGUAUAUUGACUGUGCAAAGGUAGCAUAAUCAUUAGUUUCUUAAUUAGAAACUGGAAUGAAGGGUUGAACGAAAAAAUAACUGUCUCUUUAUAAAUUUUUAGAAUUUUAUUUUUAAGUAAAAAAGCUUAAAUUAAUUUAAAAGACGAGAAGACCCUAUAGAGUUUUAUAUACAGUUAAUUUGAUUUAAUAUUUGAAUUAUUUUUUAUAAAGUUAGCUUUAUAUUUGAUUGGGGUGAUUGAAAAAUUUAAUAAACUUUUUCUAUAAAAAAUUCAUAGAUAAAUGUGUUUUUGAUCCAUAAAUUAUGAUUAUAAGAUUAAAUUACCUUAGGGAUAACAGCGUAAUUUUUUUUUAGAGUUCUUAUCGAUAAAAAAGUUUGCGACCUCGAUGUUGGAUUAAAAUAAAAGUUUGGUGUAGAAGCUAAGCAAUUAGGUCUGUUCGACCUUUAAAAUUUUACAUGAUCUGAGUUUAAACCGGUGUAAGCCAGGUUGGUUUCUAUCUUUAAAAAAAUAAAAUACUUUAGUACGAAAGGACCAAGUUUUUGUAAUAUUUAUUUAAUAAGAAUUUUAUUAAUAU
rnacentral:rRNA from 1 species